GUAGUGGACUAUUAUAAGAAAAGUAACAUACAUAAACAAAAUCUGUGACGUCACAGAUUUAAAAAAUCUUCCUACCUUUCAUUUUCCAUCUCGGUGUCGGUGCAUCAGCGAGUGCAUCAUCAGCUCGCAUGACAGUUGUCAAUGGUGUUGCUUUUUCGACGAUUUCCAUCCCGUUAGUUGCUUGUGGCUCAAACUGUGUUCUCGAAAUGGUCUCUUCGGCAGAAGGAACCGUUCGCGCCCACCACAUAAGAGCGAUCGUUCAGCUUCUCAUGUACAACGGCUGGAGUCCAUAAUUUAUUGCUUUCGGGAUGAGCUUGGAUGUAAACUGGUGAACCCGUUUGCAAUACAGGAUCGAUUCUGGAACAUUCGGUACGACACGAGGAGAGUAUUUUUCGAACGAAGCGGGCACUCCGCACCUAGUGCUGCGUGAGAACAAUCUACUUACUGGGCUGCUUCCAAUCUUGUUUGGAAUAUUCCGCCAAUGGAGCACUUGGAUUGGAAGAUUUCGGGCGCAGAUGAGAUACCGAAAGGAAGUCUUAGCCAGCGGUAGCGUCCGAAAGGGGUCCAAAACGACGUUAGUUUGCUGCUCGCCUCUUCCAACACUACGUGCCAGAAACCCUUACGUGCGUCAACUGUUGAGAAUACCUUAGCCUGGUCCAGCUCUGGUAAAAUUUCAUCCAGAGUAACGAAUUGGAGAUUGGGCCUUCUCAAUGCCUUGUUUAACGGAAUAGGGUCCAAGCAAAUGCGGAUUGACUCGGAUCCUGGAGUACCACGUCUAACAAUAAGGAUGUUACUCACCCACUCUGUAUGGUGAUAUUCCCUCGUGAUGAUUCCAUCUCGUUGCAGCUGAUCCAAUUCUGCCUUCAGCAUUGGUCGAAGAGCGAUUGGAACCCGGCGUGGCUGCUGGAUUACCGGUGUAACACUAUUAUCGAUUUCCAACGUAACUUCCCCGUUCAUUUUCCCAUAUCCUUCAAAAACGUCUCCGUACUCAUCAAUGAUUUUCUCAGCUUUGAUACGAUAUAUUUUCAGCACAUUUUGUUCAGUUUCUCCCGUUGGUUGAGCAGGUACCAUGCUGACGGAGUUACAAAACUUGAUCAAACCAAACGUUGUGCACACCUUCAAGGACAGCAGUGGCCUGUGGCUAACGUCGACGACUUGCAAUACGAGUAUAUACUUCAUCGAUUGGCACUUGCAAGGUAGUUUGACUUGACCAAGAACGUUGAUAGUGCCACCACCAAUAGCUUGAAGCUUGUACGGUGACGGGAGUAAUUCCGGAUCGGUUUCACCAGUCAGCUUACACAGCCAAUCGUACCCAAUUAAACUGGUAUUGGCACCUGUAUCCAGCUCGCAUUUGACACUUCUCCACUUGUCUUUAAUUUUCAGGAACACUUCCGCCAGGACAUUUCCUCCUUUCUUAGAUUUGUCGAAGAUCUUGCCGAUUUCCCCUUCCAUUUCCGAUUCCUCUGACUGCUCACUGUACUCGUUUUCUGAAUCGCUGUCAUCCGAGGUGUCUUGGUGGUUUAUUUUCUUCACUCUGCGUACGCGAUUGCGUUUUGACGAACUCAAUGGGUUUUUUCGGCAAACUUUCUCGAAGUGAUUCUUUCCGGAACAAAGCUUACAUUUCUUACCGUAUACUGGACAUGAACCUCUCGUGAAUGCAU